rnacentral:rRNA from 1 species
UACGGAGGGUGCAAGCGUUAUCCGGAUUUACUGGGUUUAAAGGGUGCGUAGGUGGGUCUGUAAGUCAGUGGUGAAAUCUCCGAGCUUAACUCGGAAACUGCCAUUGAUACUAUAGGUCUUGAAUUAUCUGGAGGUAAGCGGAAUAUGUCAUGUAGCGGUGAAAUGCUUAGAUAUGACAUAGGACACCAAUUGCGAAGGCAGCUUACUACGGAUUGAUUGACACUGAGGCACGAAAGCGUGGGGAUCAAACAGG